AGAGUUGAUCAUGGCUCAGGAUGAACGCUAGCUACAGGCUUAACACAUGCAAGUCGAGGGGCAGCAUGGUCUUAGCUUGCUAAGGCCGAUGGCGACCGGCGCACGGGUGAGUAACACGUAUCCAACCUGCCGUCUACUCUUGGACAGCCUUCUGAAAGGAAGAUUAAUACAAGAUGGCAUCAUGAGUCCGCAUGUUCACAUGAUUAAAGGUAUUCCGGUAGACGAUGGGGAUGCGUUCCAUUAGAUAGUAGGCGGGGUAACGGCCCACCUAGUCUUCGAUGGAUAGGGGUUCUGAGAGGAAGGUCCCCCACAUUGGAACUGAGACACGGUCCAAACUCCUACGGGAGGCAGCA
rnacentral:rRNA from 1 species